UCACUUCGUAACAUUUAGCCCCCGGUCAAUGACCGAGGGCUAAGUGGGCGGAGUGAGUGACUCCUGAGAGCGGCGAAAGGGAGAGUAACGCGUAGUUACGUGCCCCGAGGACCGGAAUAGCCACGGGAAACUGUGGGUAAUGCCGGAUAAUAUCUGCGGAUCAAAGGUGUGAUUCCGCCUCGGGAGCGGACUGCGUCCUACUAGCUUGUUGGUGAGGUAAUGGCUCACCAAGGCAAUGAUGGGUAGCGGGCGUGAGAGCGUGGCCCGUCUCACUGGGACUGAGACACUGCCCAGACACCUACGGGUGGCUGCAGUCGAGAAUCUUCGGCAAUGAGCGCAAGCUUGACCGAGCGACGCCGCGUGCGGGAUGAAGGCCUUCGGGUUGUAAACCGCUGUCGUAGGGGAGGAAAUUGGCCGGGGUUCUCCCCGGUUAUUGACCUAUCCUAGGAGGAAGGACGGGCUAAGUUCGUGCCAGCAGCCGCGGUAAUACGAACCGUCCAAACGUUAUUCGGAAUCACUGGGCUUAAAGGGUACGUAGGCGGCGCUGUCAGUCGGGUGUGAAAUCCCUCGGCUCAACCGAGGAAUAGCGCCCGAUACUGCAGUGCUUGAGGGAGACAGAGGUAAGCGGAACUGAUGGUGGAGCGGUGAAAUGCGUUGAUAUCAUCAGGAACACCGGUGGCGAAAGCGGCUUACUGGGUCUCUUCUGACGCUGA
rnacentral:rRNA from 1 species